AUGGGUGUGGCACCAGGAAGCAAGGCAGAGAGAAAAGCAGCAUUAGAUGCUGGAGCAUGGAUGUUCAAUGUUGUGACAUCUGUUGGUAUAAUCAUGGUCAACAAGGCCUUAAUGGCUACACAUGGUUUUAGCUUUGCUACAACGUUAACUGGGCUGCAUUUCCUAACCACGACCUUGAUGACAUCAGUAAUGAAAUGGUUGGGAUAUAUUCAGCCAUCCUACUUACCAUUGCCAGAACUAGUAAAAUUUGUCUUCUUUGCAAACUUAUCAAUUGUUGGGAUGAAUGUUAGCUUGAUGUGGAACUCUGUUGGAUUCUAUCAGAUUGCCAAGUUGUGUAUCAUUCCAGUUUUGUGUUUUCUAGAAAUCCUCUUUGACAAAGUUCGUUACUCAAGAGAUACAAAACUCAGUAUAAUGCUUGUCCUAGUUGGUGUUGCUGUGUGUACUGUAACUGAUGUUAGUGUGAACUCUCAAGGGUUGAUAGCUGCAAUAAUAGCGGUCUGGAGCACUGCACUACAACAGCAUUAUGUUCAUCAUCUUCAACGGAAGUACUCGCUUGGCUCAUUCAACCUCUUGGGUCAUACUGCUCCUGCUCAGGCAGUGUCGUUGUUAAUAUUUGGUCCUUUUGUGGAUUUAUGGUUGACUGACAAAAGAGUUGAUACUUUUGAUUAUACCAUGGUAGUUACGUUCUUCAUUGUAUUGUCGUGCAUAAUUGCUGUUGGUACCAAUCUAAGCCAGUUCAUAUGCAUCGGACGAUUCACAGCUGUCUCGUUUCAAGUUCUAGGCCACAUGAAGACUAUUCUCGUGCUGACCCUGGGUUUUUUCUUCUUCGGAAAAGAGGGCCUUAAUUUCCAUGUCGCACUUGGCAUGACCAUAGCUGUUAUUGGCAUGAUUUGGUACGGGAAUGCGUCGUCCAAACCAGGAGGCAAAGAGCGGCAGGUUUACAUACCAAUCAGCGAGAAAACACAGAAGCACGGCAUACUGUCAUCGCAGUCUGAGCUUGAUCUGAAAGUCUGA
rnacentral:rRNA from 1 species